UACGGAGGAUGCAAGCGUUAUCCGGAUUCAUUGGGUUUAAAGGGUCCGUAGGCGGAUUUUUAAGUCAGAGGUGAAAGCCUACAGCUCAACUGUAGAAUUGCCUUUGAUAUUGGAAGUCUUGAGUACAAUUGAAGUGGGCGGAAUACGUCAUGUAGCGGUGAAAUGCAUAGAUAUGACGUAGAACACCGAUUGCGAAGGCAGCUCACUAAGUUGUAACUGACGCUGAGGGACGAAAGCGUGGGGAGCAAACAGG
rnacentral:rRNA from 1 species